GUCACUGGCAGGUAGAAAAUAUCUCUGGUUGGUGUGUGUGUGUGGUUUCCAUUAACUGGGUGUGUGUCUGGAAUGUGUGCUUGUCGGCCAGUUACUGAUUGCCUUCUGGUGCUUCUUGGGAGGGAGCUCCACAGAUGAGGUGCUGCAUUCUUCCAGACUCUGGGUUUCUUGUGCCCCAGGAUCGUGAAGCUCGGAGCUUCCCAGAGGCUUCUAUGAUCUUCUCAACAGCAAGUUGUGUUCACCAAGCUGCUGGUUAUUCUCUUGGUGACACAGAAGACCACGUUCCAGGCCCCCUCAUUCUCCAUCAGUUGGAUGUGGUCCAGGAAGAACUCUCAGGUCCAGAGGAUGGUGGAAUCACCAGGGGGAAGAAACCAGCAUCCCCGAAUCACUUGUGAAAGGCCACCACUGAAUGUCUGAUAAGACUGUGGUGAGUGGGACAUAAACCUUCAUCAGGCUAAGCUGCUGAGAUUUAAGGUUGUUUUUUACAGUACUUAGACUGCCUGACCCAUACAAGGCGGCUGCAAAAUCUGACUUUCCAAUGGCUGGGAUAUUCUCCUUUUCCUCUGCCUAGACUUCCUCCUCUACAAAAUGGGACACUGAGAGUGCUUGCAUCAAAGGAAUCACGGAACAGUGCCUGAUACCCAUACCACCUUUACCAGAAUACUCUUACUACUACUGCUAUUACCUCUUUUGGAGCCCACCACCCCUAUCCCUGCUGCAGAGCCAUCUUUUGGGAGGAGGAAGCCCAUGAACUGGGUUCAUUCAUGUGCCUGCAGUCAGCUGCUGAGUUGGCUGGGCCUGGCUCAUCUAGGAUGGGAUCAGAUGGGACGGCAAAUCUCUGCUCCACCUGGUCUCUCAUCCACAGCUUUUGAAGGAUUCCAAGAGGUGGAAGUAUGCAAGAACCUCCUGAUGCCUGUGCCCCAGGUUGCAGACUGUCAUUUCUACUUCACUCUUUUGCCUGAAAUGAGUUACAACAACCCAGAUUCAAGCGGAUGGAUCCGUGCCAGAGAAAGGCUGAGGCCGACUCUGCUCCCUUCCUGGCCAGCUGACCUUGGCUUCCCAGAUGGGCCACCGCGAGGGCCUCCCACCCAAGUCUCUGGCAAAGGCAAACUUGUUCCUGUGAUUUAGGGACCUGAGAAAGCUCUUUAACAGGAAACCUCUGCCCUACUGCUACCUCUGAAAUUUCACCAUAAGAGCCUCAUGGGUGACUGUCUACAGUCAACCUUGUUAAAAAUUGUGGUGAAAUGCCCAUAACAUAAAAUUAACCACUUUAAAGGGAGGAAUGCAGUGGUAUUUCUUACAUGCACAACAUCGUAUAACCACCCCUCUGUCUAGUUCCAAAACAUUUCUUCACCCCAAAAGGAAACCCUGUACCCACUAAGCAGUCAUUCGCCAUUUGUCCUCCCUCCAGCCCUUGGCAACCACUGGUCUGCUCUCCAUGUCUAUGGAUCAGACUAUCCUGGGCAUUUUAUAUAAAUGGAACCAUACAAUAUGCGGUCUUU